UGAGAGAGUCACGGGAGAAUGGCGGCCUAUCUCGGUGGUCAGCGCCCCGAAGAACGAAUGGGAACCUCCAGGUAUGGAAGAAAAAUGAAGGAUCUUCAAAUGUUUCCAAAAGCCUUUUAUGAAGACCAUGAAGCUGCAGCAGACGUUGGUCCUUCACCAAUUUCCCGCUUUGUACGAAGGAGUACUUCAAGGCCACUACGUACGUUUCGUGUAUAUUUCGCGGAUGAAAACUGGUCAUACGUGAAAACACGUGGCAAAGGCUGACUGAGUCUGAUGCAGCGGCCACUACACCACAGCCCAACGUCCGUUACAGCAGACAGACAGACGCAAGUUGGACAUCAAUUCCACCCUCAUGGACUAAAAGGAACAGGAUAGAAAUCCAAUUCUAUUUUCAAAGUGUUUCCCAGUUUUCAUGAUUAUGCUGAUUUUAGCCCAAAUCAAAAAAGCAGUUCAGCAUAAAAUUCACCUUUGUGUUGUGGGCGUGGCAAUUGGCACAGAGAAACCCCGCCCCCUUCCCCUCCCAAAUCAGGGAGCUCACCCAGCGUAUUUUCUAUGCCACAAAUACGAUCUUUUUCAAAUGGCAUUUCUUUCGUCUGCUCCUAAUUCACAGCGAUUUGAAUGAGAAAUACUCAGAAAUUCUAUUUGAAAGUUUAUUUCCUUAAAUAUUUGUCUUCCAUCACAAGAAAAUAGCCACAAGAACAUUUUAAAAACAACAUUUUCUUCAGAGUGAGUUUUUGAAUUUUAUGUGAAGAGAAAAGCCUCUUUCCAUACUUUUCUGACUAUUAUAACAUUAUUUGGUUUCUGGUGUAUUUCUGACCUUAAUGUGAAGCUUAGCUUUAAUGGGAACCAAAGCUUAUUAACAUCAUAAAGAAGUAAAUUAUACUUUUUUAAGGUAGAGUGUAGUUAUUAUAAGAGCUGUAUAGCCGAAUUUUUAUGGGUAUCGAGUGGACUGGAAAGUUUAUUCUUAGGGUUAAGAUGAGGGUAAAUUGUGAUGACAAAGACAGUUUUGUAUAAAUAUAAAUAAAGGCUGUGAUUACAUUUGACCCCUUAAGUCUUUGAAGUCCUAGAACUGCCAACAAUGUAAAUAUGUUUUAUCAUAUUUUUAUCCCUUUUAUUUAAGAAAACUGCUGGUCCCAGUGGUUCAUGAGAGGACCAAAGACCAAUGUUUGUGCAGGAAAAUAAUAUAUAAUUCACUUCUUUCUUGGAUUCAAGAAACAUCAGACAGGAUAUUCAACUGGCUGGAUUGGAAGCAUUCUGCAGAGAAGUAUUGCUUUGGGGAAUGCCAUUGGUGAGGCGUGCGUUUGGCUUUACGUAUGAAAGUCAUUCAGCUGAUCCACAGCUCGGAGCAGCUGAGCGAUCAAAGGCCUGCAGCAGACGCACACACUGGGCCGGGGAUCAGGGUCGAACGUGGCACUGAAGCCCGCUUCAAAGAGGAAAUUGGAUUUGUGCUGGCACCAUCCGAGCGGCACCAAUACCUCUGGCAUUGUUCCCACUGAGCCACUAACAAUGGGGAACGCUUUUUGGACUCAAGGGACUUUCUAUAAUAUCUUUCUGUGGUGCGAGCCAAAAAAAAGAACAAAAAAACAAAAAAGGAAUUUACACCUCUCCUUAAAAGGACCACGGGAGAAAAAACUAGAUUAUCGAGUUGCCAGUUUGAGCGCCGAUAUCCAGAAAACUGAAAUGUGCGGAAAAAUCUUAAACUAGGGGCAAACAAUGAUGCUGUGACACCUCCUUCUGCAGGAACAUUCUAUUGAAGUCGAAAAAAAACAUCCUUUGAAAAUUCUAUAUCUAACAAUAACAAUAUGGAAGUUAAAAUCUUGGUGUAACUUCCACAGACGCUUCAUGUGCUUAAAACACAUUCAAAAAUUCUGACUUACCUUUUUUUUACAGUGUAACUUUAGAGUGGAGCUUUGGGCUUGGAAAUAUAUAAGAGAUCUGUGUUUUUGUCCAUUUUAAUUCAGUUUAUUUUAAUUUUUGUAGUAUGAGUUUUGUUUACUUUCUCAAUUCCAAAGUGUAAUUGUUCAUAUUCAGAUUUAAUUGUACGAUUUGGGCUAUUAAGUGAGAUUUAUCUCUGUUUUGAAAGCUUUUUGAAAGUUUGCUUU